AGAGUUUGAUCAUGGCUCAGGACGAACGCUGGCGGCGGCCUAAUACAUGCAAGUCGAGCGAGACCAGGACUUCGGUCCUGGGGAGAGCGGCGAACGGGUGCGUAUCACGUGAGCAACCUGCCUCGGAGACCGGAAUAACUCGAGGAAACUCGGGCUAAUGCCGGAUGCCCUCGGUGGACCGCAUGGUCCGGCGAGGAAAUGGAUUCCGCUCCGAGAUGGGCUCGCGGCCUAUCAGCUUGUUGGUGGGGUAACGGCCUACCAAGGCAACGACGGGUAGCUGGUCUGAGAGGACGAUCAGCCACACUGGGACUGAGACACGGCCCAGACUCCUACGGGAGGCAGCAGUAGGGAAUCUUGCGCAAUGGGGGAAACCCUGACGCAGCGACGCCGCGUGCGGGAUGAAGGCCUUCGGGUCGUAAACCGCUUUCAGCAGGGACGAAAUUGACGGUACCUGCAGAAGAAGGCCCGGCCAACUACGUGCCAGCAGCCGCGGUGAUACGUAGGGGUCUAGCGUUGUCCGGAAUUAUUGGGCGUAAAGAGCUCGUAGGCGGUUCGGCAAGUCGGAUGUGAAAUCUCCACGCUUAACGUGGAGGGGCCAUUCGAAACUGCCGUGACUCGAGUCCGGUAGGGGAGUUCGGAAUUCCCGGUGUAGCGGUGAAAUGCGCAGAUAUCGGGAGGAACACCAGUGGCGAAGGCGGAACUCUGGGCCGGAACUGACGCUGAGGAGCGAAAGCGUGGGGAGCGAACAGGAUUAGAUACCCUAGUAGUCC
rnacentral:rRNA from 1 species